GCAAAUAAUACCUUUCAUUAGCAGCACAAAUCUACAAUGCCGAUUCAAUUACUAUAUAAACUCAUUUAAGAAUCAUCUUAAUUAAUUAGCUGCAUUAGUGUGUCACCUAAAAUGAAUUUGCAUCAAUAGGGCUAGCAAAAAACUAAAAAUUACUACUACAAGCUAGCUAGUCCUAUAAUAAGUUAGUAGAAAAGUACAGUGUAAAAUAGUUGGUUCCAUGUAUCAGGCAGGCCAGGCAGACACCAAUGGCUACAAUCAGGUUUGUUAGGGUUAAUUCUUUGUUGAGAAUUGAGAUCACCACUGUAAAUAGAUGGAUGUGCAUCUUUCCUCAUUGUUGAUAACAAUGUUAUGUCUAGCAAGAAAGGUGGAUUGUCCAUUUCUCUUAUAACUUUUUGGAUCACAUUUGAUUGAUCCAAAUCGGGACCCGGGUACGUGCUCGUCAUAGGGGUGGUUGUUACGGGGAUUGUCUCCCCGUAACAACUCCCUGUUGAUGCACCCGCGUUCCAUUCACUCGGAUUGUAGUGCGUAGGUGAAAUGCCCUGAAAGAAGAGUCUGGUUCUACUUCUGUCAAUAUUGGUAUCAACCCAUCUUGCCCACGUUCUUAGCCCUUUUUCCAUUGCAAUUAGUGGAUCCAUGUCUUCAUACAUUGUCCCUCCUGCUUCUACGUUGUCCCACCCUUGAAGAGGACCUUUGUGAGUCCACCAAUGACCAGUAUUAAAAGAUAAUACAUCUACAUCAUGCCAAGCAUUAGCAUUUCCUCUAAUAUCAUCCAAUUUUAGCACUCUUUUGCCUUGUACAGUGUCUAUGUCCACUAGAUAUGGUGCUUUGUAAUAUGAAAUAGCAACUCCGUAAUCCAGGAACUUGAAAGUUGAAAUAGGGUAAAGCCUCGACAUCUGCGUUUGAGCUUUAGGUACAUCAGCUGAAAUCAUACAAAUCAACGACUCCCACUGAUCCCGGCCUAAUGAAUCACCCACAAACAUCACUGUUUUCCCUUUCAUUUUCAACAGAAACUCAAGCCCAUUAAACCUGGGUAGCUCACAGUUCGCCGGUUUCCAUCGAUACUUUAGGUAUUCCGUAUCGGGUCGGCCGUAGAGUUGACAGUUGAACUGUGGAUCGACGGCGGGGCAAGAAGCUGAUUGGUAAAAUGGGUAAGUUUCAUCGUAAACCCAACUACCUAUAAAGAGAGAACAUGAAGUUUGAUUUCCUUGAAGAAUUGGGUUUCUGUGAUUUGGGUUAUUAUAAUUAUUGUUAUUAUUAUGGUGAUUCCUUAAUAAUAUAACAGAUAAAGCUACAUAAAACUGUAACAAAAGAAGAAGACAUAAUGUAGUUGAAGAACAAGAUAAUAAUGAAG
rnacentral:misc_RNA from 1 species